GAUGAACGCUAGCUACAGGCUUAACACAUGCAAGUCGAGGGGUAACGAGAGGAAAGCUUGCUUUCCUUGUCGACGACCGGCGCACGGGUGAGUAACGCGUACCCAACCUGCCCCCAACUAAGGAAUAACCUUGCGAAAGUAAGACUAAUACCUUAUAAUUUCCUCAGAUGUCAUCUGACGAGGAAUAAAGAUUUAUCGGUUGUGGAUGGGGAUGCGUCUGAUUAGCUUGUUGGCGGGGUAACGGCCCACCAAGGCAACGAUCAGUAGGGGUUCUGAGAGGAAGGUCCCCCACAUUGGAACUGAGACACGGUCCAAACUCCUACGGGAGGCAGCAGUGAGGAAUAUUGGUCAAUGGGCGAAAGCCUGAACCAGCCAAGUAGCGUGCAGGAUGACGGCCCUAUGGGUUGUAAACUGCUUUUAUACAGGAAUAAAGUUAGCCACGUGUGGUUAUUUGUAGGUACUGUAUGAAUAAGGACCGGCUAAUUCCGUGCCAGCAGCCGCGGUAA
rnacentral:rRNA from 1 species